UACAGAGUUCAUGCCCGAAAGGGUAGACCUCCCACCCUUGUGUAUUAUUACUUUGUUGCUUUGGCGAGCUGCCUUCGGGCCUUGCAUGCUCGCCAGAGAAAACCAAAACUCNUUUUUAUUAAUGUCGUCUGAGUACUAUAUAAUAGUUAAAACUUUCAACAACGGAUCUCUUGGUUCUGGCAUCGAUGAAGAACGCAGCGAAAUGCGAUAAGUAAUGUGAAUUGCAGAAUUCAGUGAAUCAUCGAAUCUUUGAACGCACAUUGCGCCCCUUGGUAUUCCGGGGGGCAUGCCUGUUCGAGCGUCAUUUCAACCCUCAAGCUUAGCUUGGUAUUGAGUCUAUGUCAGUAAUGGCAGGCUCUAAAAUCAGUGGCGGCGCCGCUGGGUCCUGAACGUAGUAAUAUCUCUCGUUACAGGUUCUCGGUGUGCUUCUGCCAAAACCCAAAUUUUUCUAUGGUUGACCUCGGAUCAG
rnacentral:rRNA from 1 species